GAUGAACGCUGGCGGCGUGCCUAAUACAUGCAAGUCGAGCGAACAGACGAGGAGCUUGCCCCUCUGACGUUAGCGGCGGACGGGUGAGUCACACGUGGAUAACCUACCUAUAAGACUGGGACAACUUCGGGAAACCGUAUCUUAUACCGGAUAAUAUAUUUAAUCGCAUGGUUCAAUAGUGAAAGACGGCUUUGCUGUCACUUAUCGAUUGAUCCGCGCCGCAUUAGCUAGUUGGUAAGGUAACGGCUUACCAAGGCAACGAUGCGUAGCCGACCUGAGAGGGUGAUCGGCCACACUGGAACUGAGACACGGUCCAGACUCCUACGGGAGGCAGCAGUAGGGAAUCUUCGGCAAUGGGCGGAAGCCUGACGGAGCAACGCCGCGUGAGUGAUGAAGGUCUUCGGAUCGUAAAACUCUGUUAUUAGGGAAGAACAGUUGUGUAAGUAACUAUGCACGUCUUGACGGUACCUAAUCAGAAAGCCACGGCUAACUACGUG
rnacentral:rRNA from 1 species